GAAAGAUAUUCCAUUCAACCCGGUUCGUCUCUACAACUUUGAAGGGCGGUGGGGCUCUAUGAUUUUGGGGAUCGUCAAGAUACAUUUUGUCUCUAUGUUUGUAUACCUCACCCAGGUAACCAAAGUCGAUAUUCAUGAAAUGCAGGGCGACUGAGUUUUGUAUCUUUUUCAGAAAGUGACGACAUUAAGUGCUACCCAGUCGUCUUUUAUUUUUCAUUGCUAUGCUAUAAGCUUUAUUGAAAAGCUACACAUCGUUAUCAAAUUCAUGUGGGAGACAUUCAAGAGCCUGAAGGUUGUAAGACGAGUUGAGAAAGAUAUGCAGAACAUCAUGAAUGGUUGAACAACUCAAAAUUAUGGUAUCUUGCCACAUGGUGCAAGCUGCUAAAUUUUCCAAAUGGUCUUGUGGGUUCCUUCGCAAGUCGCAACUAAAUCUGUUCUUCCAUGAUGAUGAUUCAGACAAUGACAAUGAUGAUGAAGAUCUUGAAAUUGACAGUGUAGCUACUGAAUACAAGAGUUCAAUCGACAUACAUGCUGGAAAGGGAAAGGAUGAUUUAGAUGGAAAGGCUAAAAGUGGAUACUAAUAAGGUUAGAUGUCUUAGCUUAAGUGAACACAAUCUUGAGAAGGCAGCACAAACUCAUAUUGUCAGGUGAUGGAGGAACAGCUGAAAAUGCAGUCUCAUGUUUGUGGCUAUAGACUUUGGGACCUAGCUUACGCCUUUCUAUGUAAAAGUCAGAUUAUUUCCGUAUCGACAAAUGCAUUAAACAAAGUUGUAGCAACAGACUUUGUGUCUUCAAUUUAGCUUCCAAAGGUCUCCUGCUCAGUCCUCAUGAGCAUUAGUAGUGAUGCUCAUCUUUAUUUUUAUUUUGUUUAUGCAGUUGUAUUUAUUCUCACGUAUAAAGUUGUCAACUGUGUACAAGACACCACUUGAGACAUUUGUGAAUAGUUGAUGAUUUUUACCCA